AUACGGAGGAUGCGAGCGUUAUCCGGAUUUAUUGGGUUUAAAGGGUGCGCAGGCGGCACGUCAAGUCAGCGGUCAAAAUGCGGCGCUCAACGCCGUACCGCCGUUGAAACUGGCGGGCUGGAGUUCGUGGGAGGAUUGCGGAAUGCGCGGUGUAGCGGUGAAAUGCAUAGAUAUCGCGCAGAACUCCGAUUGCGAAGGCAGCAGUACAUCACGCGACUGACGCUCAUGCACGAAAGCGUGGGUAUCGAACAGGAUUAGAUACCCUGGUAGUCCACGCGGUAAACGGUGAUAACUAGUUAUCCGGGGAUAUUGGUCCCUGGGUGACCGAGCGAAAGCGUUAAGUUAUCCACCUGGGGAGUACGCCGGCAACGGUGAAACUCAAAUGAAUUGACUGGG
rnacentral:rRNA from 1 species